AUUCCUACCAACACAUUUAAAAUAUUAAUGUACUGUUUUUAUUGCUUCCCUUCUCUAACGGCAUUUCUAUAACUGGUUCCAUACCUAUAAAAUAUGUCCCGUGAAUCUGCAGCAUGGCAGGCGUGUCCUUCCUUUUUUGGAGUGGAGGGUAUAUGCACCUCUAAGUAGUUUCUUUCUGACAACUUAUAUGGAAAUUAGAUUGCAAUGUCCUGAUUUUAGAGUCUUUAAUUAUAACACAGCUUAAUAGAUACUAGAGAUUAGACUUCAGAAAUACAUGGAGAUUUACGUCUGAUUUGUUUUCCAUGUUGAAAUUUAGUUCUUGCUUUUAAAACAAAAUUCCCUGGGGCCCCACAUAGGAGCUGAAUGUGUUUGAAAGGGUGGACCAGAAGGUGCGCCAAGGAACCAGGUCUCCAAAUGCAACAUGCAUCAUAACACAAGUUUUUUUUCUAAAUGGGGGAGCCUCAAACAUCCUUUAAGGUUCAUCCUCCCUGGGUUAUUUCUGGGAAACCUUCUCCAACACAAAGUUUUAACACAACACAAACAAAGUGUUAACUUUGUAGUAGUAAGUCUUUAUCUUUUAUGCUUGGUGUUAAACUUCAUUUCAGGUGGAUUUUUGCACAUGGAUGGAGUAGGUAAGGGUCAAGCUUGUUUCUCCUUUAAACUGUUUUGGUGUCCUUGUCUUUGACCAUACGUGUAUGGGUCUUUUUCUCUUCUCUCUAUACCCUCCCACUGACCUAUCUGUCUCUCCUUUUACUAGUAUCAUACUGACUACUGCAACUUCGCAGGAAGUCUUCAAGUCAGGUAGGGUACGUACUCCAGCUUGCUCUUCCUAUGCCACAGCAACACCAGAUCCGAGCUGCACCUGUGACCUAAACUGCAGCUUGUGGCAAUGCAGGAUCCUUAACCCACUAAGCAAGGCCAGGAAUCGCACCUGCAUCCUUGCAGAGAGAGACGAUGUUGGGUCCUUAACCCACUGAGCCACAAUAGGAACUCCUUAAAGAUUAUUUUAAUAAUUUUAUUCUGUUGCCUCUCCAAAUAAAACGUAAGAUCAGUUUGUUUCAGCGAUCUGUUUGACAGGGCCACCACACGACACACUGGAGAGGGGGCCUGGAAGACGCUAGGUGAACAGGCCUCCACACCUGGCCCUUCAGACUCAUCUGGAAUGGUCAAUGUAGAAAGGUCCGGGGACAGGUAGGGCUCUUCUAAAAACCACUAUUUUAAUCAAACUCUGAUUCCACAGUGCUGAGAUAUCUUUUCAAAGAUUAAGAAAUAAAACCAUAAUAACAAGUUUAAGAGGAUGGCCCCAUUUUAUAGACUACUCUGCCUCCAGGACUUCCUGGAGGUAGAGUCUGCUCUCUUCAGGUUGGUGCUUCCAGAAUAUAACAGGGUUUCCAGCCUGUAGUAAGUGUUCACAUGACAUCCAGGGGAAUUUUCCUUUGUAUGAAACAGCCACACCCGUGUACUCACUGUCGGGGGGUGGGGGUGGGGUGUCACUCUCCUUCACUCCUAAUACCCCCUGCCACCUCUUUUAUAUUGCUUUUCCCGUUUUGCCUUACUUUGUAGCCAGUUUCCUUCCCUUCGAAACUAUAUGUCAGGUGGGGGUAGAGAUUACUUUUUAUAUUUCCAAAGUAGCUCCACAGACCUUGGUACAGAAAACAAUAACCCUGCAGUGAGGUUCAGGGUGGGGCUGGGUGGAGGUGUCAGGUCAUCCACCAAGCCAGCUCCGAGCAAUCUCACCAGCCCCUCACAGAGUCUGGGACAUAGAGCAGACACUUAGCAAAUACCAGUCAAUUGAGAGAGUAAGUACACAUUCUAUUGCAAAUACUCUUUUGAGGCAGGCACCGAGAAUCUUUGUUUCUUUGAGUCAAUGGAGGAAAUCAUCCAUGGUAGCACGCCUUUCAGAGGUGAAAUCAAAUAGGACUCAUAUUUCCUAUAAAACCUGAAAGAAAACCAUGCUCCCAUCCCAAGCUGGCAUUUAAGAAAAGAUAAGUGAGAAGCAUCAAGAUGGGACACAUUUAGGGGAGAGAGGCUCUCCUAAGUAGUAGGGGGGAGAGGGGCUGAGCACCAAGUGCCCUUGACAAAACUACACACACACUGCAACAAAACAACAAAACACAAAGGCAAUGCCACAUUUGUUAGCUAUUACAAAGGGUGAGAAGAGGCCAGGACCCAAAUGUCCUACCCUCUCAUUCUAACCACCACUGUUGGAUAACUGGCCUCUCUGCUCAGUCUUGACCCCUCAGAAAAGGCACCCAAAUGAGGUGACCAUGGCUGUUCUAAACCACAAUGAACACCUGCCAUUCUCCUGCUUAGAGCUCUUCUUAUACCAAAAGAGAAACUAGGCAAAACCCCAAAGUCCUUCAUUGCAUGAGUCCGGGCCCACUUUCUGCUCCUCACUGGUCACCACGUACAUCUGCAGUCCUCACUUCAGACACAGGAACCACCCUGCCAUGGCUUUGCCCAUUAUUCCCUGUGCCUAGAGCAUCCACACCUCCUUCUCUUCCCAGGAUUUAGAUCAAAGAUCACUUCCUCCCAAGUACUUUCACGGAUCCUCCCAGCUGAACUCCUCCAUGGCAAUCAUCUUCAAGCUGGUCUCAUUGUCAAAACUGCACGUGUGUUGUGGCUACAAAGUCGCCUUUGAUCUCUGUGGGCUGCAACUCAACACUUGACCUAGCACGCAGUCAGUGCAUUAAGACUGUUCAUUAAGAACAGUCGAAUACAUAAGUAAUUGAGCAAAUGAAUAAAUGGGCUUAGUAAACGUCAAAUAGAUUCCCUAGCAAUGCAGUUGUGUCCCUGGAUAUUUUUGCUGUGUGACAACUGAAAUCUCUCCCUACUUUUUUUUUAAGUCAUCAUUAUACAUACUAUGUACUAUGUAUUUUUAUGUACCAUAUAAUGUAAAAAAUAUAUACUAUGCUAGGCAACUUAUAUCCUGUACCCAUUUUAAGUAUACAUUCCAAAAGAAAAAUUUGUAUGCCUUUGGAACUCCCAUCACAAUCAGGAUAUAGAGCAUUUCUAUCACCUUACAUGGGUCCCUUGUGCCUCAUUUCAGUCAAUGCUUCUUUCGUUCCCAGCUGCCAGGCAAUCACUAAUUUGCUUUCUGUCACUACAUAAUUGUUUGGAAUUUUUUUUGUUCUUUUAUAUACAUAAAAUCAUACAGUAUGCAUUCUUUUGAGGUGGGCCUAUUUAGCUCAGCAAAAUAUUGAAAUUCAUCUGUCUAGUUUACUGUAUUAGUAUUUUUACUGUUGAGUAGUAUACCAUGUAAUGAAUAUAUCAUACUUCAUUUAUUCAUUAACACUCAUUGAUAGACAUAUGGAUUGUUUCUAGUUUGGAGGUCUCAUGAAUAAAAGUACUGUGAAGAUUAGUGUAGAAGUUUUCAUUUUAUUUGGGUAGAAUCCUAGAAACACCAUUGCUAGCCUGUAUGAGAGGUGUAUGUUUAACAAAGAAAACUGCCAAACUGUUUUCUAAGGUGGUUGUACCACUUUACGUUCCUUUCAGAGAUAUGUGAGAGUUAUAGCUGUUCCACAGAUUAACAGAUAUUUGGUCUUGUCCAGAAUGCCCGUAUUUAAUCCAAAAGAUCCUUGAAAUUUGGUCCCACCCAAAAUAUCCAUGAGCCUAUUUGGUCCAUGCCAAAUGAUUUUGUACAAUGAUCAUCACAAUCCAAUUUUAUUGGAUUUCCAUCCCACAUCCCCAGCACAUCCUCCCACUCCCCAAACUGUCUCCUUCGGAAACCAUAAGUUUUUUAAAGUCCAUGAGUCAGUAUCUGUUCUGCAAAGAUGUUCAUCAUGUCUUUUUUCAGAUUCCGCAUGUCAGUGAAAGCAUUUGAUGUUGGUGUCUCAUUAUAUGGCUGACUUCACUUAGCAUGAUACUUUCUAGGUCCAUCCAUGUUGCUAAAAGUGCUGGUAUUUCAUUCCUUUUAAUGGCUGAGUAAUAUUCCACACAUCUUCUUGAUCCACUCCUCUGCUGAUGGACAUUUAGGUUGUUUCCAUGUCUUGGCUAUUGUUACUAGUGCUGCAAUGAACAUUGGAGUACACGUGUCUUUUCAAGUCAUGGUUUUCUCUGGGUAGAUGCCCAGGAGUGGGAUUGCUGGAUCAAAUGUUCUAUUUUUAGUUUUCUGAGGACUCUCCAUACAGUUUUCCACAGUGGUUGCACCAAUUUACAAUCCCACCAACAGUGGAGUAGAGUUCCUUUUUCUCCACACCCUCUCCAGCACUUAUUGUUUUGUAGACUUUUUGAUGAUGGCCAUUCUGGCUGGUGUAAGUUGGUACCUCAUUUGGUUUUGAUUUGUAUUUCUCUAAUAAUGAGUGAUGUUGAACAUCUUUUCAUGUGUUUUUUGGCCAUCUGUAUGUCUUCUUUGGAGAAUUGUCUGUUUAUAUCUUCUGCCCAUUUUUUGAUGGGGUUGUUUGGUGUUUUUGGUAUUGAGCAGCAGAAAGUGUUUAUAAAUCUUGGAGAUUAAUCACUUGUCAGUUAAUUCAUUUGCAACUAUUUUCUCCCAUUCUGUGGUUGACUUUUCAUUUUGUUUAGGGUUUCCUUUGCUAUGCAGAAACUUUUAAGUUUAAUUAGGUCCCAUUAUUUAUUUUUGUUCCUACUGUCAUUACUCUAAGAGGUGGAUCUGAGAAGAUGUUGCUGCCUUUUAUGUCGGAGAGGGUUUGGCCUAUGUUUUCCUCUAAGAGUUUUAUAGUAUCUGGUCUUAUAUCUAAGUCUUUAAUCCAUUUGGAGUUUAUUUUUGUGUAUGGUGUUAGGCAAUAUUCUAAUUUCAUUCUUUUACGUUUAGCAUUAAUCAAGUUUUUUUUUUUUUUUUUUUUAAUUUUAGGCACCUAAAUGGGUCUUUAACUUUUUCCAGCAUCCCUUAUGUAUCUUUCUAAGCAUCUCUCUGUGUUUCCUUGCUGUGAGUUCUGCAACCUAGAGGAGCUGUAUACAUGCCUCAGGGAGAGGAUGUUUAGUUGGUUAAAAGGCUCUUUUAUUAUUGAGCAUGAUGCCAGGAUAAACAGGACCCAACUCAGAAGUAAUGAGAAGAAGGGGCAGAAUGAGAUGCAGGUAGACAAGUCCAUAGAUGCCAUGAUUAAGAAGAAAAAAAAAAAAAAAAAAAAAAAAAAGAUGUGCACUAGAAUUCAUUUUAAAGCUGAAAAAUCCAUGGUAAUUUGAGGAAGAGGAAACCCAUGCUUUCCUGGGACCCCACCUCCAUUCCCCAGACUGGUACAGGGCUGAGCAAGGAAGAUGUCCACCAUAAUUUCUUGCUGAUUUCCUUUUUAAGGGUGGGGAGUACCUUAUGUCAUUGAGACCAUUUUAUUUAUUUAUUUAUUU
rnacentral:lncRNA from 1 species